GUAGACGCUAUACUCUAAGAUUAACCCAUGCAUGUUUAUUGAAUAUAAAGAAAAGACGAACAGCUCAGUAACUCUUAUUUGAUUUGAUGUAUUAGGAUUCUAACUAUGUUAAAUUAUAGGUAACAAUAAUACAAUAAGAAUAAGAUCUAUCAGUUAGUUGUUAAGGUAAUGGCUUAACAAGACUAUGACGGAUAACGGUAUUACUUUGUAAUAUUCCGGAGAAGGAGCCUGAGAGAUUGCUACUAAGUCUAAGGAUUGCAGCAGGGGCGAAACUUGACCUAUGAUAUUAUAUUGAGGCAGUUAUGAGUAGUAUUUUAUAAUUAUUGUAGUAUUGUAAGUACAUAUUACAAGAUAAAUCGGAGGGCAAAUCGAGUGCCAGCAGCCGCGGUAAUACUUGUUCCGAUAGUGUGUAUGAUGAUUGAUGCAGUUAAAAAGUCUGUAGUUUAUUUAUAAUAAGCAUUGUAAGGUAUACUGUAUGGUUAGGAGAGAGAUGAAAUGUGAUAACCCUAACUGGAUGAACAGAAGCGAAAGCUGUAUACUUAAAUGUAUUAUUAGAACAAGGACGUAAGCUAGAGGAUCGAAGAUGAUUAGAUACCAUUGUAGUUCUAGCAGUAAACUAUGUUGAAUCAUAGAUAUAUUUUGAUAUAUAUUUAUGUAGAGAAAUUAAGAUUAUAUUGACUCUGGGGAUAGUAUGAUCGCAAGAUUGAAAAUUAAAGAAAUUGACGGAAGAAUACCACAAGGAGUGGAUUGUGCGGCUUAAUUUGACUCAACGCGGGGUAAUUUACCAGGUAUAACAUGAUAUAAUAUUUUAUCAUGAUAGUGGUGCAUGGCCGUUUCCAAUGGAUGCUGUGAAGUAAUGAUUAAUUUCAACAAGAUGUGAGACCCUCAUUUAGACAGAUGUAGUGAUACAUAUGAAGGAGAGGAUUAAAACAGGUCCGUUAUGCCCUAAGAUAAUCUGGGUUGCACGCGCAAUACAAUAAUAUUUGAUAUUAUAAGGGAUAAUAUAAUGUAAGAUAUAUUUGAACAUGGAAUUGCUAGUAAAUUUUAUUUAAUAAGUAGAAUUGAAUGAGUCCCUGUUCUUUGUACACACCGCCCGUCGCUAUCUAAGAUGGUAUUAUCUAUGAACAAAUUUAUAAAGUGAAUAGAUAGUACUAGAUCUGAUAU
rnacentral:rRNA from 1 species